AUCUCUCAACACAAGAAAACUUGUUUCUUGUGCUUGGAUAUUGAAGGUUUUGCUGGCGCGAAUAACUGUCAGCUCCUUUUAAAUGCAUUAGCAGAGCAGUGUAGGACUGGCCUCAGUUUGAUAAGAAAUAUUUAUCUAUGCUGUCGCUAGAUUUCCUCUUUGUGUUCAGCUUCAAACUGUCUUCGGACUGUCUCUCUUGAGGCAAAACAAUUCAUU
rnacentral:misc_RNA from 1 species